GCGGAGGGAUCAUUACCGAGUUAUACAACUCCCAAACCCACUGUGAACCUUACCUCAGUUGCCUCGGCGGGAACGCCCCGGCCGCCUGCCCCCGCGCCGGCGCCGGACCCAGGCGCCCGCCGCAGGGACCCCAAACUCUCUUGCAUUACGCCCAGCGGGCGGAAUUUCUUCUCUGAGUUGCACAAGCAAAAACAAAUGAAUCAAAACUUUCAACAACGGAUCUCUUGGUUCUGGCAUCGAUGAAGAACGCAGCGAAAUGCGAUAAGUAAUGUGAAUUGCAGAAUUCAGUGAAUCAUCGAAUCUUUGAACGCACAUUGCGCCCGCCAGCAUUCUGGCGGGCAUGCCUGUUCGAGCGUCAUUUCAACCCUCGAGCCCCCCCCGGGGGCCUCGGUGUUGGGGGACGGCACACCAGCCGCCCCCGAAAUGCAGUGGCGACCCCGCCGCAGCCUCCCCUGCGUAGUAGCACACACCUCGCACCGGAGCGCGGAGGCGGUCACGCCGUAAAACGCCCAACUUUCUUAGAGUUGACCUCGGAUCAGGUAGGAAUACCCGCUG
rnacentral:rRNA from 1 species